AUUUUGGACAAUGGGGGAAACCCUGAACCAGCCAUCCCGCGUGCGUGAUGAAGGCCUUCGGGUUGUAAAGCACUUUUGGCAGGUAAGAAACGGUAUCGGUUAAUCCCGGGUGUCACUGCCGGUACCUUCAGCACAAGCACCGGCUAACUACCUUCCAGCAGCCGCGGUAAUACGUAGGGUGCAAGCGUUAAUCGGAAUUACUGGGCGUAAAGCGUGCGCAGGCGGUUUGGAAAGAAAGAUGUGAAAUCCCAGAGCUUAACUUUGGAACUGCAUUUUUAACUGCCAAGCUAGAGUAUGUCAGAGGGGGGUAGAAUUCCACGUGUAGCAGUGAAAUGCGUAGAGAUGUGGAGGAAUACCGAUGGCGAAGGCAGCCCCCUGGGAUAAUACUGACGCUCAUGCACGAAAGCGUGGGGAGCAAACAGG
rnacentral:rRNA from 1 species